GCCGGGCGCGGUGGCCCACACCUGCAAUCCCCGCAGCUCGGGAGGCUGAGGCAGGAGGAUCGCAAGUUGGAGGCCAGCCUCCGCAACUUAGCAAGGCCCUGUCUCAA
rnacentral:sRNA from 1 species